rnacentral:rRNA from 1 species
CUACGGGGUGCUGCAGUGGGGAAUAUUGCACAAUGGGCGCAAGCCUGAUGCAGCCAUGCCGCGUGUAUGAAGAAGGCCUUCGGGUUGUAAAGUACUUUCAGCGGGGAGGAAGGGAGUAAAGUUAAUACCUUUGCUCAUUGACGUUACCCGCAGAAGAAGCACCGGCUAAGUCCGUGCCAGCAGCCGCGGUAAUACGGAGGGUGCAAGCGUUAAUCGGAAUUACUGGGCGUAAAGCGCACGCAGGCGGUUUGUUAAGUCAGAUGUGAAAUCCCCGGGCUCAACCUGGGAACUGCAUCUGAUACUGGGAAGCGUGAGUCUCGUAGAGGGGGGUAGAAUUCCAGGUGUAGCGGUGAAAUGCGUAGAGAUCUGGAGGAAUACCGGUGGCGAAGGCGGCCCCCUGGACGAAGACUGACGCUCAGGUGCGAAAGCGUGGGGAGCAAACAGGAUUAGAUACCCCCGUAGUC